rnacentral:rRNA from 1 species
UACGAAGGGGGCUAGCGUUGCUCGGAAUCACUGGGCGUAAAGGGUGCGUAGGCGGGUCUUUAAGGCAGAGGUGAAAUCCUGGAGCUCAACUCCAGAACUGCCUUUGAUACUGAGGAUCUUGAGUUCGGGAGAGGUGAGUGGAACUGCGAGUGUAGAGGUGAAAUUCGUAGAUAUUCGCAAGAACACCAGUGGCGAAGGCGGCUCACUGGCCCGAUACUGACGCUGAGGCACGAAAGCUAGGGGAGCAAACAGG